UACGAAGGGGGCUAGCGUUGUUCGGAAUUACUGGGCGUAAAGGGCGCGUAGGCGGUGCAUCAAGUCAGGCGUGAAAGCCCCGGGCUCAACCUGGGAACCGCGCUUGAGACUGGUGCGCUCGAGUUCGGGAGAGGAUGGUGGAAUUCCCAGUGUAGAGGUGAAAUUCGUAGAUAUUGGGAAGAACACCGAUGGCGAAGGCAGCCAUCUGGACCGACACUGACGCUGAGGCGCGAAAGCUAGGGGAGCAAACGGG
rnacentral:rRNA from 1 species